CAAUCAAACCGGGAGAUAGCUGGUUCUCCCCGAAAGCUAUUUAGGUAGCGCCUCGUGAAUUCAUCUCCGGGGGUAGAGCACUGUUUCGGCUAGGGGGCCAUCCCGGCUUACCAACCCGAUGCAAACUGCGAAUACCGGAGAAUGUUAUCACGGGAGACACACGGCGGGUGCUAACGUCCGUCGUGAAGAGGGAAACAACCCAGACCGCCAGCUAAGGUCCCAAAGUCAUGGUUAAGUGGGAAACGAUGUGGGAAGGCCCAGACAGCCAGGAUGUUGGCUUAGAAGCAGCCAUCAUUUAAAGAAAGCGUAAUAGCUCACUGGUCGAGUCGGCCUGCGCGGAAGAUGUAACGGGGCUAAACCAUGCACCGAAGCUGCGGCAGCGAACGUAUCACCCAAGACAACUUUACGGAGUUGACGAUUGACGGAGCGAAGCGACGUCAAAGCGUUCAUUAAAGUCGAGUUGGCUUAGGGAUACGUUCGUUGGGUAGGGGAGCGUUCUGUAAGCCUGUGAAGGUGUGUCGUGAGGCAUGCUGGAGGUAUCAGAAGUGCGAAUGCUGACAUAAGUAACG
rnacentral:rRNA from 1 species